rnacentral:RNase_P_RNA from 1 species
GUGAAACGCGGUAACCUCCAUCCGGAGCAACACCAAAUAGGCAGGCGAUGAAGCGGCUCGCUGAGUCUGCGGGUAGGUGGCUGGAGCCGGUCAGCAAUGGCCGGCCUAGAGGAAUGGUUGUCCACGACAGAACCCGGCUUAUCGACCGACUUUCCCA